rnacentral:misc_RNA from 1 species
UUAUUUUCCUUGCUUUCAAAAAUGUAUCGAUGAUGCCGAAAGAAUAUAAAAUCUCGUUGGUUGUGAAAAGUUGCAACCCGUCGACCACGAAAAUUAGGAUCUUGAGGGAAUAGUGAUUGUAUUAAUCUUCCAACACGAAGACCAAGGCGUGUUGUGAAGUUGGUCAAUACCAGCUCUGGCUGAUGGCUGGUUGGAUUUCCAUGAUUCUUAAUAUCCUUACGUAAGACAACAUUAGAUAUCUUAAAAUGCGCAGUAGGUCCG